rnacentral:lncRNA from 1 species
GAAGCUUGAUCGGUGCUUGCCACCACCGUUCAGUUUUAGAGGUCGCUGUGUAGCAAGAAUGGACCCUAUUUUAAGCUAGUUAGGCCUACAAGGAAGAAUAAUAAUUAUCGAACUUCUUGAUCAACUGCGCCAUCAUGUCAGUGGCAUCGUCCUUGCAAGCAGCACCACUGCCAAGCUAUGAGAGUAUCAUAAGUCAGAACCUUAAAGAUGGUGCAUCCAAUCAUAAAAAAUGGAAUUACCACAAAUAAGAGAAGGAGACAUACUUUCCCAUUUAGAAGAACAGCAAAAACAGUGUAUAAAAAAAGACAUUUUCCAAACUCUGAUUUUGACCUGAACCUUGUUUUGGUGUAUAUGAAACGUUUUUGAUGUUUUUUUACAUAAUUUGAGGGUACUGAUCAUGAAUCCAGAGGGUGCCAGAUUGCCAUCUUUAAGAGUUUGAGAUAUUCAAGAUAGCUGCCAUAUAAUACUCCACAUUGGGAGCCUUUAGGAUAUAAAUUGUUGUAAACACAAUGAGUUGAAGUAUGGAACAAUUGUUCUUAGUUUAUAACAUUAAACUUAGUGUGAUCAUUAAGAAUAUCACACACAGCUUUGUAUCACAUUUUGCCCAAAAUUCACAAACCAAACACUCCACUUUAGGCACUCACUGUUAUAACUUACCAAUUUUGAAACCUUUGAUUAUGAUUGAAUUUACAAUACCUAACAUCUUUCAUUUUUCUUGCAAAAUUAGUCAACUCCCUCCCCUUAAAAAUCAUCUGAUGAUCAGUUUGAUACUACUUAUCUUUUCACUAAUAUUCCUCUGGACGUAACUAUUAACAUUGUCCUUUCUAAACUUUUUGCAAAAAAACACCCCUGUCAAUGGACUAUUAAGAUACAAUUUAAAAUCUUUGCAUAAAUUUUCAACUAGACACACUUUCCUCCUUUUUAACAAUACACUUAAUGAACAGACAGAUGGCAUUGCUAUGGGCUCUUCCCUGAGACCAGUGCUUUCCAAACUUUUCCUUUUUUCUCCAUCACUUUGAACAGAACUGGAUGGACAACUGUACUUUAUACUUCAAGCCUAUUUUCUACACAAGGUAUGCAGAUGAUAGUUUCCUUAUUUUUCACUUUAAAGGUUAUAUCACACAUUUUCUUGACUAUCGUAAUUUACAACACCUUUCUAUAUAUAUAUUUUCUCAUCAAACUGAGGCUAAUAACUCUUUUCCUUUCUGGACAUUUUAAUUAAUCAUAAUACUAAUGGUUUUUCUGUUUGUCAUGAAAAUACAUUUAUUGGCCUUUUUACCCAAUUUCACAAGUCUUAUACUUUGUCUUCUGAAUAGGGCCUACAACCUUACCUCUUCUUUUCUGGCCCUUCACAAAAAAAUUUUUUUAUAUGAAGCAUUCUUUUUCAAAAUAGCAGCUACCCUAUGCAUUCGUUGGAGAAAACAAUUUUCUCAAUCUUAACACAUUAAGUACCACCUCAGAGAUCAAUAUCCAUGCCAGGUGUAAUUAGUUUUGUUUUUAUUAGGAACAUUGUAAUAAUGCAAAAUAAUAUCAGAUAAAAGUUUAUGGGCAUGUACGGUUAUUCAACUAGAAUCUGUACCAUGACUUACAUGAGCAUCAUUGCCACUGCAUUUGAAAUUAUUUUUAUGAGUGCUGUAUGACACAUAUGUAUCCUCUUACUUUUUAUAUAUCUUGUCAUGGUCUUUGGGUAUGAUUUGAAUGUACAAAACUGGAAGAAAGUUUUUAACCUUUCCAACUGCACUAUCUACCAACUUAAUGCAGAAAUAGGACAUCCAAUUUCUCCCUUGAACUUUAAAAUACUCUCAACAGCUAAGUAUGAAACUGAACUUCUGAUAAAUGGGACAUUAUGCAUAAAAACUCUUCUUUCAAUUUCUAACUAAUACCCAUUCACCAUUUGAUAUAAAUCUAUUUUAAUAUGUAAGAUGUAAUUUGUAUUAGAUAUUGUUUAUUUUUUACUGUUAUUUUGUGUUUUCAAAUUGUUUAAUGUUAUUUGUUUUAGCAUAUAUCACAUUCUUGGUGUAAUUAAUAUUGCAUAUUUUUGUAUCAUUAGCUUACUGAAGAUGAAAUUCUAAAGAUGCUGAAACAUCUAUUAAGUGCUUCAUAUAAUUACGUUUGUGUUGUUCUUUAUAAUUAAAAUACGUCACAUUUUCUGAAAAAUUAAUUGAUAGAGAAGCAAUUUUGACCUGUAGAUGUAGGUUAAUGGGGGGUCUAAGAACUCAAGCUUGACAUUAAAAGUGCAACAUUAUUUAUAAUAUAAUUAAAAAUGGUAUUUUGACUAGUAAGGUUUUUGAGAAUGUCUUAAUCCUACAUGUCCACAUUAACUGUAGGAUGAAGAGUUAUAUGGAUGUCUUUGCCUAAUUCUGACUAAGCCACAGUAGACAAACAUGUUAAUUCAAACUAAUAUGACUGCAAUACAACCAGCCGCUUCACUGCCAAUGCUUACCAUUAUUGUAUCAUAACAAAACCAGCCUCCUCGUCACUUGUUCUUGUAUCCUCCCUCUAUCAGACAUCCAUUACUAACUUUUCUUUUAUUGUGUAGGGGAUUGGCAUGAUUUUUCUUAUGAUGUGGAAAAUGUUUGUUCUAUUGAUAGUUUCCUUGAUAUUAUAGUAUAGUAUUAAGGUAAUUAUUGGUUUAAACAGUAUAAUUUGAAGAAUUUUGUUAUGAAUAUUAACUGGUUUUAUCUAGAAUAACAAUAUGCGUGAAUAUGUAUACUUUUUUUUUGUAAAGCACUCAUGAGUAUAGUUUAUCACUGUAUAUUGUUAUGCAUAUUAUUUUGAAUGAACAUACAUGUUUAUAUUGUGUCACUCAGUCAGAUUCAGGCAAUACAGUUAAUGUGAAACAUAUAGGUUCAAGACUUGCUUUUAAUAGUUAAAAUACCACUUUUAAUUACAUUAUGAGCAGUAUUGAACUUUUUAAUGUCAAACUUGAGCUCUUAGAUCCCCAUAAUUCUAUGUCUAGAUAUCAAAAUUGCUACUCUGUCAUUUUUAAGAGGCUGAGAUACCAUAAUUUUUCAGGUUUGGUAGCCAUCUUAAAUAUUUCAAAAUUCUCAAGGAUGUCAAGGUGGCACCCUCUGGAUUUAUAAUCAGCACCCUCAAAUUAUUUGAAUGCCAUGACGAAUUAUUACACAUGUGCCAAAACAAGGUUCAGCCUCUUGCUGUUAGAUUAUUCAAAGAAAUUAGCAAUAUAUCAAAGUUUUUGCAGCCCACUCACCUACACCAUGAGCAUCUACUUCAUGAACAUCUUGUAUGUGGUAUCAAACUCACUGUUUUAUCAAGCAUGCUUUGAAGAUGAUGUUUUGGCAAGUGUAAAUUAAUGUGAUUACUGAUGACACAUACAUUUAUACUGCAUAGGCCAUGUGUUGUUCGUGUGCAGGUUUCAUCUUUCAUGUUUUUGUUUUAAUAUGGUAAUUCAAACUAGAAUUACACACAUUCAUUAUUACUCAUGCACGUCCUUCACUUAGUGAAUUCAUAGAAUUAAUGGAUGAAUUUAAAAUGGAAGAAAUUAACACAAAAGUUAAGAAAUUAACAGUCACAGUAACAAAAAUCUUAGGUACAAUAAAGGAUAAAGUUAUAUAAAUUAUUGCUGAGAUUAAUUACACUUUUAUGAGCAUUUCCAUAGUAUACCAUAACUAUAUGACCAUUGAACUAUGUUUAUGAAUUCAGUAUGAAAGUAUUAUUUUAAUUACUUGUGACUUUCAGAAAGAAUGUGAACCACAAACUAGGUAACCUCUGUUAAAGGUGUUUGAGCAAUGUUAUUUGUAUAUUUAUUUGAAUAAUAACAUAAUUCAUAACAUGAUUUGAUAUUAUAAAAGUUUUCUUAAUAUUAUUGAUUAUUAUACUUAUAUGUUUCCUAGCUUAGUUAGCUCAAUAGGGAUACUGCUAGACAAUGGACUGAAAUAUGUAUAAUUCUAAUCAAGAAGUUUUAAAUAUAGAACUAUCAACAUUUACAGAGAACCAACCCUUCCAAUUCUGAACUCUAGAUUAUGCCUGAGGAAGUCACUCGACCUCCAAUGACCCUGCCCUAGAUUGAAGGAACAGCUCUCCAUCAGAUGGAUAAGAUUCAAGUGAGUGUGGGCAGCAAAAAAUAACAGUCUAGCAGAUCACGGCCAAUGGAACUAGUUCUGAUCACUCAUUAGUAUUACCAGUAGGUAUAAUGAUGGAGUAAAUGUUGACUUACCUACGUGCUUGUCUGUGUAGGGCAAGAUAACCUUUCAAUGAUCAUAGAAAGACAAGAUAGAACUGAGAUAGCUGUUCGUAUUUCCACUGUAGAAGUGGAAUAUAGUGCAGCAGCAUACCUUCAUUCUGGUAGAGGUGUCACUGUCUUCCUUACUUCUUGACAUGUGACACUAUUUUAAGGUCUUAACUUGCUGUACCUCUUUCUCUUCAAUACAUUUAGAGCAUGAUCAAGGUUAAGAGGGAUGGGAACUUGACCAGUUGACACAGUGUGGCUGCAACUUACACUCAUAUUAGUGUAAUAGGGGUAAUAUUAGUGUUAGCAAAAAUAAAGUGUGUUGUUUCAUGUAAAACUAAAGAGUACACAUUGUACUCUGUGAUAAUAAUGUGACUGGCCUACCCAAGUAGAGGUACCGAGAACAUGAUAUAAGUUUAAAACACCAUGACAAGAUAGUUUAGUGUGUCCAAACUACUAACUGAAGACAUUUUUGGAAAUGUAGAAUUUCUUGUAUUUUACCUUGUGUAGGAAGGAUAAAUUAAUUAUUUUUAAUAAUCAGACAGUCAUGAUCAAGCACAAUUAACCAAAGGUAGACUAACUACAUUGCUAGAUAACUACUUUUUAUAGAUAAGAUAAUUUUCAAAAAUACCCUUAAUUAUUAUAAUCUGUGAUGUAGAGGCAUAAUAUAUUUAUAGAUUUGCCACAUCCUCUGAUGAGCAUUGGAAUUUUGUCUAAUAAAGGCUCUUCAACACACCUUAAGUCAGCAAACCAAAGUAAUACAAUAAAGCCUCUUAUAAUGGUGGUGUGUACGUAAUAUUUAUAAUAUUUUAAAGCUAUUUUUUAACCACCACUUAGUAACUUAAACUAUUUUAGAUAUGUGAAUAAUAAUAUGACAUUCAUUAUUAUACAGUGAACCAAAUGAACCACUAUUACAGACUUUAUUGUAGUUGUUUGGUUUGCUGACCUAAACUGUGCUUAUGAACUUUGAUUAUAUUGGUGAAACUGCAGUCCACAGCAAAGGGUGCAGCAAAUCAAAGAACAUAUUAAGCCUCUGUGUUAGAGAUUGUAUUUUUAAUUUUUACUUUUGGUGAAAAUAAAUUUUUAAUAUCAUCAUUAGACUGUUAGUUCACUGUAUAACACCAAAUAAUAAUUUUGCAGAAUGUUAUAAUAUUCAUAUAUGUAAAGUAGUUUAGGUUGUUAAAUGGUGAGGUAAGAAGAUUUAUAAAUAUCAUAAAUAUUUAUUCUCAUCUAUUGUAAUAUACCACAAGAAAUAAAAAAAGUCAUAUUUCAUAACUGCAAUUCUGAUUUUGCAAUUUUGCCAGAAAAAUAAAUUCCAAGUUACACUUGAAAGCAACCACUGAAAUGCUACUAUACAGAAUAAUAGUUUAAAUAAAAUUGACACAACACUGUUUUAGUUCCU